CAUCUACAUCCUCUCUUAAUUUUAAUAUGAUGUAUCUUACGUACAUGUCCCUCCAGAUACCUGUUUUGGUUUUUUUGGUAUUUUCAGAAAGAUAAUUUGGACUUUUCACAUCUUUUUUCCUAUUUUGUUUUUUGUUCUUUGGGCUUGUCGCCCGUGUUUUCCUUGCUUCCCUCUGCCUUCUUUUUUAUUUUUUGCAUCUAUCUUCUUCUUUUGUUUUUUGUUCUUUGGGUUUGCCGCCCGUAUUUCUUUGCUUCCCUCUCCCUUCAACGUUGCUGUGUUGUUGCUGGUAUUCGUUCAGCUUUUCACUGUGGUUUGCUGGGUAUUCUUAAGGUUGGAUUGAUUAUUCAGAAAUGGAAAAUUGUUCACUACCCAAGAUCUGGGAAUGGUAUUGCCGAUGUGGGCAAGAUUGAAGAUCUGCUGAUGGUUAUGCCUUAAUUCUUUCUCUGCUGAUUUUUUCUUUCAUUUAUCAUGUUACUGAAAAGUUCUCUGUUUUUUGUUGUAGUCUCUUUGAUGGUGCCUUGGUCAUUUUCUAAAAUGAACGACAUUCUGUUCCAUCUUUUUUGCUAGUGUUAUUUCUUUUGGAUUUUUUUAUCUCUGAUUGGCUCGAUUGCCUUUUCUUUGCUGUUUAUGUUUUAUUGGUGACUAUGUCUAGCUAUUUUUGGUUGCAAGCUUUGUUGCUGAUUUUCAUUUUAUGGCCUUUGUCUUGCUGUCAUUGUUGGGAUUUAUUUGAAAACUGAUCCGGGAGUAUGGGAUUGUUUCAUUGAGUUUGUUGAUUUUUGCAAGCUGAUUCUGUAGUGAUGGAAGACGUCAUCGCCUAGUCUGUUGUCGUGAUAAAAGCAAGGCGAGAGUAUAAAGGAAGAGCAGGUGGUAGACCAUGUUCUUGAUUGCAGUUAGGCAAAACAAAUAGUAGCUCCUCAUUAACUAUUUGAAAGAAUAUCCCAUGAAAAGGGACAGAAAGGAAGCAAGGUGUUUCUAUGUGCAAAAAAAAAUUUACGGGAAUCACAUCAUGGAUCUCUUGCAGAUUGAAUUAGUACUUCAUGCUAUAUGAAAUGUGGAAGGUCUCCUUAUGCUCAGAGUUCAUAUGACAUCUAAUGUUCCUCCCGAUGAUACCCUUAAAGUGAGGGUUAAACUAGUAAAUGCCAUACUUGAUUGGCUUUCUUCCCUCUUUCGGUUUCAGGAUAGUUCAUGGUAUGCGCAUUAAAGAUGGAAAAGCAACAUGUCUCCCAAUGUCGUUUGGAGGUGCUAAAUUUAUGAAGGUGUGUUCAGAUAAUCACCAUGCACCAAAGAAAAGAACACAUGCUAGUGGAUAUAGAAGUCGUUUUGAUCAUAAUAAGUUUGUUUUGGUCGAAGUUGAGAAGCGCAACAUCUAGUCCCUAUUGCAAAAAUUCCCAAUACUAGAGGAUGGCAUCAAUGUUCGAAGAGGGCUUUAUCUUGACAUCUACAAUAUUAUCGAUGCAUGGCAAUGGGAGGAAUUUUACGCCCAGCUAGAGGUAGCGGUAAUGCCUGUUGUUUUGAAAUUCUAUGCCAAUGCUGUUAAACAUGAUGAUGGGUGACCAUUCAUUUGAAGACGUCAGCUAUCUUUCGAUGCUCACACUAUUAAUCAAUUUUACAACACACUUGACAUUGAAAACGAUGAGUAUGGCUAAUUUGUGAAUGGUGAAGUCGAUUUGGAUGAAGUUCUAGGGGCAUUUAGCAUUGUGGGUACUGAAUGGAAAUUGCACAAGGGUGUUCCAAUUUCUUUCAAAGCUAAUGCCAUGGAUAAUGACUACAAAGUAUGGUAUCAUUUCUUAGUUGUAAAGAUGCUUCCUAUGAAUCACUUGAGCAUUGUGACAAAAGGAUUGAAUGAUCCUCUUGUAUACAAUUAUGAUUGGGAAAUCUAUUAACAUUGGGCAAUUGAUCUUCAACAACAUUAUCAUGUCAACCUAUUUACUACAUGGCGGAUUGUGGUAUCCAUUCUUGAUCAUUGCUUUGUGCCGUCAAGCCAGAGUUGUUUGGUCACCAAAUGAAGAGUUGUUACAUUCGAAGAUUUCAUUGGAUGGUGGGAUUAUCCAUAUGUAAACAAACUAUUAUUGGAGGAAGUUCAUUUGCUGCACCUCAGCCACAGUGGCGUACCCAAAAUCUUUCCAUGUCUUAAUGAAUGGAAUGGCUUGAGCAUCGCAUGGAUGACCAAGUAGAGUGUUUAAAAGCCAUUGAAGAGAUGAUGAGGGCAUAUGCCGAGCAUGUUAGCAUGGACAUGGCUACCUUCCCCAUGUUGCUCGCGGUUCCCACCUUGGCUGAUAAUGAUGAUGCUACUACGAAGGAGGAUGAUGAUUGACUUCAUUUGCAAGUUUGGGGGAGUUUUCACUUUUUUGACUUUCAAGAACAUUAGAGACAAUGUUCACUUUAAGUUUUUUUUUUUUUGGGGGGGGGGGAUUUUUGUAUUUUCUUUUAUUAUAUUGCGUUUAUGAUUAAACUAGUCAGUUUGCAUGUUA